AGGGAUUGCCCCAGUAACGGCGAGUGAAGCGGCAACAGCUCAAAUUUGAAAUCUGGCCCCCCCCCGGGGGGCCCGAGUUGUAAUUUGCAGAGGAUGCUUUGGGCGAGGCGCCUUCCGAGUUCCCUGGAACGGGACGCCACAGAGGGUGAGAGCCCCGUCUGGUCGGACGCCGAGCCUCUGUAAAGCUCCUUCGACGAGUCGAGUAGUUUGGGAAUGCUGCUCAAAAUGGGAGGUAUAUGUCUUCUAAAGCUAAAUACCGGCCAGAGACCGAUAGCGCACAAGUAGAGUGAUCGAAAGAUGAAAAGCACCUUGAAAAGGGGGUUAAACAGUACGUGAAAUUGUUGAAAGGGAAGCGCUCGUGACCAGACUUGGGGCGGGCGGAUCAGCCGGCGUUCUCGCCGGCGCACUCCGCCCGUCCCAGGCCAGCAUCAGUUCGCGCCGGGGGACAAAGGCGGCGGGAACGUGGCUCCCCAGGGAGUGUUAUAGCCCGCCGCGCCAUGCCCCGGGGGCGGACUGAGGGCCGCGCAUCACUGCAAGGAUGCUGGCGUAAUGGUCACCAGCGACCCGUCUUGAAACACGGGCCAAGGAGUCGUCCUCGUAUGCGAGUGUUCGGGUGUCAAACCCCUACGCGGAAUGAAAGUGAACGUGGGUGAGAGCUUCGGCGCAUCAUCGACCGAUCCUGAUGUUCUCGGAUGGAUUUGAGUAGGAGCAUACGGGGCCGGACCCGAAAGAAGGUGAACUAUGCCUGUGUAGGGUGAAGCCAGAGGAAACUCUGGUGGAGGCUCGCAGCGGUUCUGACGUGCAAAUCGAUCGUCAAACAUGGGCAUGGGGGCGAAAGACUAAUC
rnacentral:rRNA from 1 species